AAGGUCAAUCACUGACACCGCGGCUCGGUACUCGUCUUCUGCAAUUGAAGUCGCUACCAGACGCUGUUUCUGUGAGUACCAGAUUACUGGUCCUCCUAUCAUCACUAACACUCCACUUGUCGACUGUCCUGUCUCAGAGUUUCCUCCAAAGUUUGAAUCGGUGUAUGUCACCAGUUCUUUGUCUCCUCCGAAGUGAAUUCCUGCUGCACUGUUCCUCUCAAGUACUGAAACACUCGUUUCACCAUCACCUGAUGACUUUUCAUGGGCUUGUUGCAGAAUCGACUCAGGUAGUUCACGACGAAGCUGAUGUCUUGCCUGGUGAUUCUAGCUAAGUACAGCAAACUUCCUAUUACUUCGCGAUAGUUGUUGUUCGCCGGUAGUGGCUCGUCGUUUUUGAAGUCUGUCUUAUUGGUGAUCAUCCCUUGCGCAAUCGGUGUGGAUGCUGGGUUGCACUGCUGCUCGAGUUUCAUCUUUCUCAAAAUUUUCUGUAACGAGGCUGAUUUCUUCCUCAUCUUUCCCAGCAACCAAUCUAUCAUCCACGAAGAAUGAAAUCAUAAUACUCUUGUUCUUGUUUUAGUAGAUACAUGGAUCGUCAUCUGUGUUGAUCAGGCCUAUCUUUUUUUCAAAGUUCGACGAUCUCGCAAAAUUCUCCUUCCUGGCUCUUCUGCUGGCUGUGGUGUCCCAUUCUCGUUGUCGCUUGGCUCCUCGGCGCUUUCUCCAGUCCCCCAGUUCUCGCCUUCUUCGUCUGACUCGCUAUUGCUUUCUUCUUGCUUAUCCUCUACGCUCUCUGGUGUUGGUGUCUCAAGUUCAUUGCCUUGCUUUAGUCACACCUUUUCCUCGUCGAAGGUCACAUUGUCUGAGCUAACUACAUCACUCUUUUCCGUCAGAUAAAUCCUGUAGCAGGGCGAAUCAAUGUCAUAGCCAAUCAGAAUUCUCUUUUCUGAUUUUCUAUCAACCUUGCCUCUCUUAUGUGCUUGCGUCCACACAUACUCUUGCUAACUAAAUUAAAAAUUAAUAUAAACAUGGUAACCAACUUUGACUCUAUAUAAAACAAAAUAGUGUGUGAUAGGGAUAGGUCUAGGUCUGGUCAGCAGUCAAUUUGAUCAAUUUUCAACAUAUUCACUACCAGACGCGUCAAAAUUUCCGGUUAUUGAUUCAAAUAUACCACCAAUAUUUAAUCCUUUCUUCUGUCUUUUCACGACAAAAGAUAUUUCACUAUAUCUUCCACCGAUAGAUUUCGCGAUUUGUUGCAAUAAUGCCAAAUUUGAUUUAACUUCGGAUCGAAAGGACGUUAUCAUGGAGUAAUUUGAACUAAAGGUAUUUUGAAUUGUAUCUAAAACUCUAUUGUUUCAAAAAUGUUUCACCUCGUAUACUGAUUGUGGUUUUUGUGUGGUCUCUGUUCAAUAAGCGUUACUAUUAAUUACUAUUAAAACAUAUCGAGAUGGGUUUGGUUUUGACCAACCGUAGGAUAAGUAAAUGGUCUUGGUUCUAUUCGCGGCGAAAAAACUAAACAGUGACAAGCAGAUAUGCCCGUUAUUUCUUAUUUCUUUCUAUUGUGAAUUAAUACUUCAUACUUCAUUACUUGAUUGUAACCAUUUUGUGUUCACUCUAUUUUGAAUACCAUCAAGCGUUAAUGCAUAAAAUAAUAUAUGUAUAAAGCUCUUUAAUUUACUAGCCUCGAAUCAUAUCAGAACAAAUAUAUUUUACACUGAAAAAGCUGUUCGGCAAGGAUUGCUUAGUAUGGCUUUUACAAAUACUUUUGGGUACAAUGUCAUUUCCUAUUAUAAAAGUUGUUAGUUCCUUUCCUAUUAUCUUCUCCAUAACUUUACACUGAUGAAAAGUCAAACUAAUCGGUCUAUAGAUUGACGCUAGAUCUUUGUCUUCUUUCAUGAAUAUAGGGAUUACAGUUGCUUGGCGCCACAAUCAGGAAUUCUCCCAGUUUCCAUACACUCCUUGAAAAUUUCUCUCAGUGUUGAUGUUAUAGAAUUCACACAGCGUUUUAAAAAUAUUGAAGGAAAAUGGUCUAGGCCUGGGCAGGAAUGUUUUUUCAAGUUAUUAAUGGCUUCUUCUACUUUCGCAUGAGUGAAAUUUAUGGUAAUAAUGCUGGGAAUUACUCUUGUAUUGUCAGGCAAACUAAGCAAUGCAUUAAGAUUCUUGUUUUCAGUAAAUGUUUGCUCGAAUUGGUCUGAAAAUGCUUCAGCUACUUGUUCGCAAUCACUUACCACUUUUCCUGUGACUGGAUCUUUUAAUGUUAUGGGAGUUACCUUGGACAUCAGGUUUCAGUUUACGUAUUUGAAAAUCUGUUUUUGGGAACUUUCAAGCACCGGCCUAUUUUCAUAGUUUCUUCUUGCAUAAUUCAUUUUACUUUUCACCAGAUUGUUUUGUUGUUGAUAUGCAGGAUGGAAUUCAGGUUUACCACUUUUCACGUACUUGUCCUAAAGUUUUCUUUUUAGAUCUAUUUCUUUAAACAAGCUCUUUUUUCUAUUCUGUUUGUAUAAUUACUAAGAGCUUUAACUUGGGUUUUGGCAGUUAUAAUUCCAUGAUCACUCCUUCCCAGCGGUGGGUGACAUUGGAUAUCAAAAACUGUUUUUUUAUGGUUUACAAUAAACAGGUCAAGUAGUGACUUUUCAGCGUUUCUAGACUUAGUUGGAUAGUUUAUCAUUUGAUGACAAUUCACUUCGGUGUAAAAAUUUAGAAAAUCUUGGGUUGCAUUAUCUUGCCUACGUAGAGUAAGGUCAGUCCAUUUUAGUUCAGGUCAAUGGAAGUCUCCAUAUGUAUAGGUGGGUAUGUCUGUAUAUACAACAUAGCUGUAUUUUAAUGUCAUGUAUUUGCACUUCUAGGAAAAAUGAGUCUAUUGAACUCUGUAUAUCAUAUUUGCUUACCGCGUUGGCUUCCAACACAUGGUCGCAGAGGAUUUGAAGCGAUUCCUACACGUCGCGGAAGGUGGAUUGAUCUUAAAAUUAAUUUUUAAUUACCAGGUAAAAUAUUUACUACGAAUCGUAGUAUUUGAUUCCCAGCGUCUUGCUGGGAGCUGAGACUGCUCUUCAAGUUUCUCUAAUUGAUCAAACUUCUUCAGUAAGACGGUUGUCUUCCUCGAGUGUUCUUGAUAUGGGUAGGGAUACUAUACUGCAAGCCAGCUAGUAAUUUUCCGGCAGAGUGAACAAAUCUUGUUGUUUUGUAAUGACUCCAUAUCUAUCAUUGCCGGUAUUCUUUUCGCAACUGAUUCACUCCUUCUUGUAGGUCGUGGUCUCCUUCAAAUGGCUCUAGUUGUUUUUGAUGGACUACUUUUGGUUUGCCAUUGUCAUAAUUUUCGUAAUUAUAUAGAAAUUCUUCUCGUAGGGUUGUACAGCCAUACUUUUUACCCCUGUUUAAAACCAUCGUCUGUGGCUUCCGUGUCGUAUCGUUUUGACAUUCUGUCGUUGGAAACUUGAAGAUUCGAGCGAACCAAUUAGUAUAUGUAUUCCAUUCUCCUUCUCAAUUGGAUCUUAUAAUCUUCUUUCGGUAGGUCUUCUCCAUGUCGAUAACCAAAUUCUUCUGUCACAAGGAAGCUUCAAUUUAAUCCAAACAGAAUUUUCGCAGGUAUUACACCGGUGGACUCAUUAAUAGCCGAUCGAUAAACCAUGGCAAAUAGAGAUAGAUUCUGAUCUAAUCUCUUUGGUGGCUAGAAACUACUUUUGACAGAUAUCUGCUAAUGGUCCUGUAGCUCUUGAAACUACAACUUCCUUGGAUUCGGCUUUGUUAGAGAGGAAGCAAUCUACUAGGAACGGUCGUCUAGAUAGGGAGUGGUAUUUCGAUGGCUGACACCAGCUCGAUGUUGAAUAUCAAAGUUUUAUUCUUGAAGGCGUUCAAUCCUUCCAGCGAUCUGGCAUCAACUGCAUCAAUCAUUUGAGUGCUACAUAGUCAGUCCGGAUAAGGAACUUUCUUCCAUAAAGAUACUGGUAAAAGUGUUGCACGGACUUUGUCUGUACUUAGUGAUUCGCCCUCGUAGUUAAUUCAAAUGCAGUCUAGUUUUGGUUGCCUAAUAGUAGGCGACAAAUGAUUUUAAUGAAUAUAUGGCAGGAAGGAAGAAUGCGUCGUGAACGAACAUGCAUGUGAAGAGACAUUGCUUUCUUUGAUACAUAACCGUAUUGUUUUGUUAUAUAUAAAUCACGUUCAAUUAAAUAAAGUAUUUUGUUUCCUCAAACGGUGAAUCACUACAACCAUCAUACCGUAAUUUACAUACUUCACUACCAUCAAAAGCUCUCUUCUCGUGACGCAGUAGUUCCGUUCCGUUCGAGAGAACUUCACUAAAGUAUCCCAGCACUCUUCCUUUCCCUUUUUAGAUCAAUGAGAGCACUCCUUCAAUCCCUACGGUGCUUGCAUCCGUUUCAAUAAUAAAGUCCCUCUUUGGUAGUGGAGAUUGGCACUGUGGUUGAUUAUUUCUGCAAGGUCUCGAACGCCGUUUGACAGUCUUCGUUCCAGUGUUAAGCUCUAGCUUCUUCUGUCAGUCGAAUUAUUGGUUUGGCAAUAUAUACGAAUUGUAUAUACGGUUGUUUGUAGCUAUCGCUGUAUGGAGACAUUUUCUCUGGGUCCAGUGCCACUCGUUCGUUGCUCACUAUAUGGCCUAGAUAAUGGAAUCGAUUUUGGAAUAACAGGCACUAAAUUCUCUCAACAAUAAACAGUCUCCCGCAAAAAUUAAUUCCAGCGGAAAAAUUUCCUUGGCGGGAAUCUUCACAUUCAUUACUUGACUACUAAACUAAAGAGUGGGUUGCAAGGAAUUAUCAUACAAUAUCGGUGUGGAGUUGGUAGUCUCCCAUCGGACGCCUCCCCAGGGGGCAGAUAGAGGAACGCCUCCCAGAUAUUGGUGGUACCGGAAAAAUUAUAUAAUUGGGGCGGUCCAAAUACUAACAUGUUGCAGAGCAGUAGCUGCAACAUUACUGAUAUGAGCUCAUUGAAGAAUAGUUUCUCUAAGGACUUAUACGCAGAAACCUUCGGGCGACCAUCAGAUGAAAAAAACCGGCUGUAACACAACAGGAAAGGCAACGGGAAACUACUCCAUAAAUUUUUCGAAGUGUAGUUAGCAUGGCGCAAACUAAAACCGACGAAAAUAUUACUGAUCAUGGACUUCGGAAACCAAGAUCCGGCAAGAAAGGAAAUGCAAUACCAGACUGUGGGACUUCCUCGAUCGUUAUCGCACGAAAACCCUACAAAUUAGAUCAUAAAACAACAAUCCUUAAGAUUUCCGAGAGUAUAAUUAGAUUGGGUACGUGGAAUGCUCAUCAAAUGAUAAACUUCAGUUUAGAAACGCUGAAAAGUCGCUACUUAACCUGUUUAUUGUAAACCAUAAAAAACAGUUUUGAUAUCCAAUGUCACCCACCACUGGGAAAGAGUGAUCAUAGAAUUAUAAUUGCCAAAACUCAAGUUAAAGUUCUUAGUAAAUAUACCAAAAGAAUAUAAAAAUAUAAAAAUUUUGGAUUUUGAAUAGUACUUGAAUAGAUUUUACUACAACAAAAGUUACGAUAAAGAUCUUACUAUACAAAAGUCGUGAAAAACAUGUAGUUUGUUAUUUUAUAAUAUCUCAUCUACUGAUUAAGCAUGUCGGUCGGCUACCGUCUUCUGUUUCCUUAUGCUUACAUUUCUAUAUAUUAUAACAGACUUGCAUUUCAUGUGACUUCUCCAGAUAUGAACAGACUUAAAACCUAGCAAUAGAAUUGUUCGUACUACUGAGGAAAAUAAAAGUGAACCACAGCAAACCCUGGAUUACACCAGUUUGUUCAAAAAAAUAGAUCUAAAAAGAAAACUUUGGAAAAAGUACGUGAAAAGUGGUAAACCUGAAUUCUAUCCUGCAUAUCAACAACAGAACGAUCUGGUGAAAACUAAAAUGGAUUAUGCAAGAAGAAAUUAUGAAAAUGGGCUAGUGCUUGAAAGUUCCCAAAAACAGAUUUUCAAAUACGUAAACCGAAACCUGAUGUCCAAGGUAAGUCCCAUAACAUUAAAAGAUCCAGUCACAGGAAAAGUGGUGAUUGCGAACAAGUAGCUGAAGCAUUUGCAGACCAAUUUGAACAGACAUUUACUAAAAACAAGAAUCUUAAAGCAUUGCCUAGUUUGCCUGACAUUACAAGAGUAAUUCCCAGCAUUAUUACCAUAAAUUUCACUCAUGCGAAAGUAAAGUACAAAUCAGCUAAGAAAAGGCCAGAUGCGUCAUAACUGACAAAGUCCGCAAUAGUUUCCUUCUCUCUUAGGCCCAUCCCAUUUAUGUGACAGUGGCGUUUUUUUACGAUUGUUCGGUAUUUUUAAUAUUGAAAUGCAAGUUCUAAAUAGACUGGCAACGCUACACAUCUGCUGCAUGUGCAUCUUCAGAAUUCGAAGGGAAGUCGUCGCGUAACCAUGGAUGUCUUACCAUUGCGAGUCCCUCUUUGAUGUUGCCAAGCCUUUACUUAGGAAAGAAAGUACGGUAAUAUUAUAAAUAAUUUGCGCUUAUGGUCAGAUGCAUAACCGACCGAACAUCGGACAUUCAACAUUUAGUAUUGUUCGUUGUUCAGUGUGAUUUAUUGUGUUCGGUGUUAUUUUUUGUCUGUGUAUAGUUUAUUCUACAGAUAGCACUGUUUUUGAACAUUAGGGGCAUAAUCGUUUUAAAUAAUGUCCGCAAAAAAAGUUGGAAAGCAAGGUCUUAUUAUACGAAGCCAAGGACGAGACAACAUAAGCAAUAUUAUUAAUUUCAUGAAAAAAGAGGCAGAUGAAGGAGUUACUAUUCCUUUGAAAAAUUACAGGUAUGUAGCAAGAUUGAAUUCGAGAAGUAGGUUGACACAUUUUUAUACAGGCACCUACUUAUUGAGUGUCAUAUUUUAAAUUAGACUAUUAACAUAUUUUGAUAUUUCAGGGAAAGAGUACUAGCCGCUACUGGGGUGUCAAGGUCUACUUUUCAGAAGAUAUCAAAAGAAGCUCAAAAAGUUGAGUGGGGAGGGCCAAGCACAUCUUUUCAUUCGCCGAAAAAAAUACGUAACACUAAAAAAAGAAAGCUGGGUCGUAUCUCGCCAGAUGAGAUAUAUCUAUAAGAGAAAUUAUCUACGAUUUUUAUGUACUGGAGAAGAUACUUCCUUCGUUAAAGUUUAAAAUUUAAAAGAGCAAACGUGCAAUGCUAAGUUAUGAUGAAAUAAUUUCAUCAUAACAUUGAAAUUACAGGUGUUUUGCAGAAAAUUAAUGACCGGCAAAUCUUGACAGAAGCAAUAAGUGUAAGCAGCUUGAAUCGGCUCCUUAAAAAAAUUGGUUUCUGGUAAUAAUUGUGAUUUUAAGUUGUCCAUUAUUACGAUAAUUACGAUAAUAGAAACCUUGGUGUCUAUCACAGUGAUUUUUUUCUGUAGAUGGCAGAAAAUGCCAGACCGAAGAAAAAUUUUAUGUGAAUCACACGACAUUCGCCUGAAACUAACUACCUAAAGAAGCUGAUACAAUACCGUAACGAAGGCCGCAAUAUAUGUUAUACUGAUGAAACUUACAUAUACAGCAGCCAUGUUAAAGACAAGGACUGGUACGAUGAGAUUCUAAAAGGAAUCAAGAAGCCAAUUUCUAAAGGCCAACGGCUGAUUAUAAUACAUACUGCUGAAGAAAAAGGAUUCGUAAAAACGGAUUACUUAUAUUUAAAUCAGGAUUUGUUGUACGUCAGAUAUUAGAAUAGCCCAUCAUGGGAUAUGUUACUUUGAAGCCAAUAUUUCAAUAUCCGCACAGAAACGUAACUUCAAUAUGCCAUAAAGCGAACUCUUUCAUUGCUUGAAUUUUAGCAAAAAUAUGAAGAAAACGUGAGUAGCGAGAUGCACUUCAAUUAUGAAUUUGGUUGUUUCGUAAAAUACAUUGAUUGAACAAAUUAGUAUAUAAUAUUUCCAUAAUGGAGAACAAACCUGACAAAAAACCAGUUAUUGUCCAUGAUAAACUGGAAGAGCUACUAUUAGAAAAUAAAGACAAAAUAGUGAUUAAUAAUAAAAUCGUAACCACUAGCAAUAGUACGAUAUGGAAAAAGUUGGGAGAGAAAAUGGGUGUCAAGGAGACUACAUUUUAUUCUUAUGCAGUGGGUAAACGACACGGUUUCAAAGCGUUGUUACUGGGUAUUGUUCAGGAGAAAAGUCUUGAUAUGGGUACUAGCUCAUUGGACAAUUCGCUGAAUUCACUUAAAAUGAAUUAUCAUGGCAAUUUCGAACUCAAUUUGUCAAAAACAAGAUUCAACACACUUGUUUUUGAAAGAGUUAUACUUAUGAAAAAACAUAUUCAAUGGCAUUUGAAAAUGUGCUAAAGCCAUUUCAUCACAUCCUCCACGUAAAAUUUCAAAUCCAUUCAUUAAAACACAAAACUUAAGGACUCUUAUGAUAUACUAAGCUUUGUUAAUUUCGAACUGCUGAACAAAGAAGUAGAUUUUUUUCCUAACUAUAUUGAUUGAAUUUUUUUAUUUUUGUUGAUCAAAAGUAUUUUUUUUUAAGUUGAAAAAAAAGUUUGGGUCAAGAGCUAGCUUAAAAACUGGCAUUCGAAAUUAUUCUUCAUUUUCGAAUAAGAAUGCUUUAGUUAAGUUUACGUAAAGAUCUCUAGAAGAUCAUUAUGAAUUUUCGAAAGUUCAUUACUUGAAAAGCUCUCUUUGAUAAAGAAAGUGGCACAAGUGCAGGUCACCGAUUUGGGUGCAACUUUGGAAAAUCAUUUAAUAGGUAAAAAUAAGUAAGUAACCGCGACCAUUCGGCUCGAUAUUGCCUGAAUUACAGGCUACUUUCGUCGUUAUAGUUGAAAUUUAUGGAUCUCUCAUAACGUGAAUAGCUCGUAAUCUAAACAACCUGGAUUUCCAAAAGUAAUACCUUCUGAAACCUUGGAUGAAAUCCUUUUGAUAGGAAAAAGUUUUUGAAAAGUUAAGCAGUUAAAAAGAGAUGCUGCCUCAAAUUUUCAUUUUUUUCAUACAUAUGACUUUUUUUUCGAGUAAUUAAAGCAUAUUACGAAUUCAAUUGAAGUAAAAGGAAUAAAUGUUAUAGUAUAUAUUAGUAUACGUGUGUGUGAGUGUGUGUGUGUGUGUGUGUGUGUGUGUGUGUGUGUGUGUGUCUGUAUUAGCAGUUCUACCAAAAAAAUUCUACUUCUUAGUUCGAGUUUUAAAAAAAUUGGGAUGCACGCUUUUAAUUGUUUUAUAUUUUCACGCUAUGGUAUAUCAGAAACACGAAUAAAAUGAGCCCAUCAUCGAACAUUCUCCAAACACUCUUUUUUCUCGACGGAAAUGAUAAAAUUCAUGUCACCUAAAACAUGGUUGCAUGUGCUUUUUUGGCAUUUUAUUCAAAAUCGGAAAAGAGCAAGCGUUAAUCUGAGUUCAUAUUCAGAUUCUUCAUUAAAAAAUACGUCGAAAACAAUAUCUUGCUUAUUUUUUAGCUGCGGAAUUGCCCUCCAGAAACUGCAAAAGUAUAAAAAAAAACGUAAAGUAUAAGAAUUUCAAAGGUCGAUUUUCCGAAUUUUUGGCGUUUUUGUUAUUUCGCGGCUGGUAAUUGGAAACUCAGUAACGAUAAAUUAAUUCACCUUUCGGUUUGUCGAGCCCUGAGAGGGUCAAUUUUGUAGUUAAAAAUAAGUAAUAUGUGGUUUUCGAUGUAUUUUUCAACAGGGGAUCUGAAUAUGACUCAGAUUAACGCUUGCUUUUUUCGAUUUUGAGUAAAAUACAAAAUCAGCAUAAAAAGUCACGUUUUUUUCAACAAGAAGUUUAGCGCUUCGGCCGACAAAAGCAAGGUGUCCAGUGUAUCCCCGAUGAUGGGCACAGUUUUUUCUAAUUUCUGAUAUACUAUAGUAAGAUAAUAUGAAGAAAUUAGGAGCGUGCACCCUCUUUCACAGUUUUUUUAACUCAUGAUACAUGAUUUCAAUGCAGUAUAGUAUAGUAUAGUUUAUUCCGUGAAAAUGUACAGUGCUUAUUUAUACACUUUUUAAUUUUAGUUUCCUGCCACUUAUACAUGACAUGAUUUUAAUGCAUUUUUUCAUGUAAAAUAAAAUGGCGCGGUUAGUGCUAUGAUUGAACCCUUACACUUUAUCCAAAUUCAAGAACUUGUCCGAGUUACGCUCUUACGCCGCUAACCUCAUAACGCACCGUUGUUUUAUAAGGGUUUAAAUGAUUUUUAAAACUUUUAGAAUCUGACAUAUAGAAUCUGACGUUAACUCAAUUUCGAAAAAAUGGAGUUACACGGUUAUGCCAGGACGCCACGGAAUAAAUAACGUAUACAUUCAGUUUUAUGACAUAAUAUAAUACGGUAUAUUUUAUAUGAAAAAUGUAUUUUUCAGUUAGAAGAUCAAGAAAGAACCAUACAAACUGGAGUAAUAACUUGUACUAAAUUUAAGACAGUAGAAGAUUAUACCGAUGGAUUUUUCGAAGACAGCAGUCAAAUGGAAAAUACUACGUUACUAACGAUAGAUAUAAAUCACUAUAUUAAAGACUGGGCUAUUUUUUUCAAAUCGUUGUCAAUGGCAUCUAUUGGAGAAUUAGUUAUGUGCAAAACGCUGCCGGUAGCCAAACAUAUAUUAGAAUUACUUCUGACGGUAGCUUUGAGUGAUACGGACGGCAUGUUGGAAAAUAAGAAGAUAAGAAGGGAAACCCAGUUAUGUCAAGUACUGAAAUUGCUAAUAAAAAACUGAAUGCACGCAUUACUGGAAAAAAAGAUAUUUUUAAUGACUUUCUGGAUUACACUUAUCAUGAUUCCGAUUCAGAGUCUCACGAUCCCGAAAGCUCUUCGUCGAGUCUCUCUGAUGCAGAUGAAAGUGAUGCGGAAAAUCUUGUCGUCCUGAAUAGAUUGUCUAGAAGUAGAACCAAAAAACAAGCUGCAAUUGUUAAUCCAGCAUCGGCAAAAAAUAACGCUAUGGAAGCAGUGGGGUUUGGAUAUCAAAAAGAGAAUAGAAAAAAAUUAAAAAAAGGAAAAGGAGAUCACUUGAAUGCUUACGCAAACGAAUUCGUUGUCAAAAGACAUCUACCGAUGUGGUCAAAUAUUUUCAAUAGGAAGUUUGAAAGGACAAUUAUUAGACCUACUUCGUCAGCCUCUGUUGAAUGUGAAAUAAGAAAAGUAAAGCAUAAUGCUUUAAAUGGACAAUGCAAAACAUUAAGGAUUGAUCGAAGCGUAGAGCUUAUAAUAAAGUACUACGACGGAAAAUUGAGAAUAUUACCAGCUGAAAAUAAUGCUGCAUCUUCUGAUUCUGGUCCUGAAAACGAUUCAACUGUCGAUAGGGAGGCUGAAAUUCUUGACCUUGGUAAUAGCCCUAUUGAGGAAACUACUGAUGAAGGUCAUCAUUCGUAUGAUGAAGCUGCUUACAUUAGUACUGAAAAUGCUAAUAUUGACAAGAAUUCGGGCUCUAACCAUAUUCCAUCGCAAAAUGUAGAAUUGGAAAACGAAAUUGUAGAUGUUGGUCAAAAUAUUAACGACAAAGAAAACCAAGCCAUGCCAACUGUCAACAAAGCUGCACAAAACAUUCGAUCUCAAAGUGUGCACGAUGAAUCUGACAGAAUACAGUGUGAAGCUUGUCUUAAUGGUCACCAACCUCCAGGUGGGCAUAGUUGCCGUAUUUGUUUACGAAAAGUGCAUGCAAUUCAUAAUUGUUCAGUACCUUUAUCGUCUGAUUCGGAUAAUGAAGGAUACGGAAAACCACGUACUUGUUUACCGUGUUUGAGAAAAUCUGCAGCCAACAACACUGAUCAAAACAAUCAAGUUUCCUGUAAUAAUAAAAUUGUAAAAGGCAAUCGAGCCCUACCAUUGCGAGAUAUUUCCUAUGAAACACAGUGCAAAGCAUAUCGGAAUGGACCUAGCUCACAAGCUACUCGUCAGUGUCACAUUUGUUUACGUAAUGUUCAUAUUAUUCCUGAUUGCUCUUUACCCUUUUCAUCUAAUUCUGACUAUGGAGGCGAUGGGCAAUUGCGUAUCUGUAUAUCGUGCUCAAAAAAUCCAGACGUCGACAGACACAUCGCCAUGAAUGAGAUUGAAAAUCAUAAAGGGCAUGCUAUGAGAGACUUGCAAGAACAUCACAAACAAAGGGGUCAAAAAAACUUGUAUGUAUCAGUGAAAGCACUGAUAUAUGCGAACGAGAAUAACAGCUUUAAAAGUUUGUCUCUCUUAAAAAGAGGAUCUGACCCAAAUUUAUCUCUUGUAGUACUUUGAUGCAAUUUUGAUACAUUUGAUGCAUACUUCGAUGAAAAUGCAGCUUUGAAGGAUCCCACAAAAGUAUCGGUUUCGCUGAUAAAUACCUGUCCAAUAGACAGUGCUUUCAUGUUUAUUUAGUUGCUGGUAGCGAUUAUCCGUGGUUUGGAGAUCACCUUAAAAUGAAUUCAAAAGUAAACGAAAAAGGAGCUGACCAGGUAGAUGAUUUGUUUAAGCAAUGCUUGUAAAUACACUUUCAUUUGGAACAAUUACGGCGAAAACGUACAAACUAAGAGCAAUACUAAUGAUAGCUUUUAAAAAUAUCGAGCUAAUUGAUACGGCACAAGUAGAUUGCUCUUGUGAUAUUGGGGAUUUGAUCCAACGUUUGAAAACAAAUAGUCUAAGUCUCAAAAUACAAAAGUCGUGCCACAAUAAAUGCAAUCCUAUCGAGGAUAUUGCAAAUAUAAUUGUCAACAUUUCUAUAUUCAAAAAUAAAUAACUUUUGGAAAAUCAGCUACAAAUGUUGAUUGAAGGAAGCCAGCCAUGUUCCAACCCGCAAUGUGGAUACCUAGAAACAAAGACCGCAGUGGUGGGAAUCAUCAUCAAAACUACCAACACAAUCAUCUUUGACACCUUCAGCAUCUAUAUUCCUGUACGAAUGAAGAAGAAUAAAAAGGAGGACUUGCAACAUGACUUAAUGACAUUAGCCAGGGAUCAUUUCAGAAACCCUGAAAAUAAAUAUCAAGUGAUGGCAAGAAACUGGACCUUUAAACUAGAGCACAUGUCUGUAGAACAAAGAAAAAUUCAUAAACGAAAUACUCUUUGAAGGAGAAGAAGGAAACCUCCAUAGACAUUCAGUAGUUAUUAAUCAGUCUCAGCCAGCUCUCACUUGGAACACUCCAUCACCUAUUCCGUACACCCCAUCUCCUAUUUCACAAACUACAUCUGAACAAGCAUAUCUGUCCAAUACGUAGCAACCUGCGAUGAUUCAUAUUUCAGACUCUCAAACAAAUGAAAAUAAUCUAAUCGAACUUGAAGCUGAUAUAGCAGCCAAAUUUGUAAACAAUUUUUGUUCCCUUUGAAUUAUAUAUUUUGUAAUUUUGAAAUAAAAAUCUUACCUGAA